UGGUUUAAUUAUCAAAGGUAUAUUCUGCCCUAUGAUUAUUUAAAUGGCUGCAGUAUCCUGACUGUGCAAAGGUAGCAUAAUAAUUAGUCUUUUAAUUGAAGGCUUGUAUGAAUGAANUAAUGAGAAAUAUAUUUUAUUAUUUUUAUUUUUUGAAUUUAAUUUUUAGGUAAAAAAGCUUAAUCUUUUUUCUGGGACGAUAAGNCCCUAUANAACUUUAUUUAUAUUUUAANUAAGAUUUUUUUAGUUUUUUAUUUAUUUUAUAAGUAGUAUAUUUUUUGUUGGGGUGACAAANAAAUUUAACNUUAUUUAUUUUUUUCAUUGUUUUNUAUSUUUUACUGAUCCAUUUUUGAUUUUAAGAUAAAGUUNCCUUAGGGAUAACAGCGUAANUUUNAUGGGGAGUUCAUAUCUAUAUUAGAGUUU
rnacentral:rRNA from 1 species